AAGAAAACUCCCAAGCCAUAAGUGAUGGUCAUUUAUUAUGGCAAGCUGACGGAGAUGUUCCGGGUUUCGAACUAUCAACUUUAUAAUGCAUAUGCAUGGUCCAAACUGUUCUCACGACAAAGUGGACAAAAACAAUGGAGGCUAUGGAUAUGUUUCAGCUGCUCAAGAUCCUAACAUGUAUCCUAACCAAGGCUAUGUCGGUCCUGGAUAUGCACUUGGGAACUGUAAUCAAGUCUCGCAUCCCAGGCCUCCAGUCGAUAAUUAAUAAAAGUAUUGCUGAACUAGAGGCGG